UGGCGGCCGGGCGAGUAAUGUCUGGGAAACUGCCCGAUGGAGGGGGAUAACUACUGGAAACGGUAGCUAAUACCGCAUAACGUCGCAAGACCAAAGAGGGGGACCUUCGGGCCUCUUGCCAUCGGAUGUGCCCAGAUGGGAUUAGCUAGUAGGUGGGGUAACGGCUCACCUAGGCGACGAUCCCUAGCUGGUCUGAGAGGAUGACCAGCCACACUGGAACUGAGACACGGUCCAG
rnacentral:rRNA from 1 species